UAGGCUGAGUAGAUGAGGUUUUUCGACU
rnacentral:piRNA from 1 species